UAUAUUUCCGAUGUAGCAACAAAGGCACUCUGCCUCUUCUCCUCGUGCUCCUACCAGUGGAAACCAUAUACUGGUUGGACAAAUUUUCUGGUGAAAUGGCUUUAAUAAAGGCACUCAUCUUUCUAGCUUCUUAUUUCUCCAAAAGCAACUAAUAAAGAGAUGCAAUAGCAACAAUGGGGGGGAAAUGGCAUGUGAGUGCAUUGGUACCUGCGCCUGUUUGUCUAUACGCUGCAUUCAUUUGCCUUGCUACAGAAGCAGGUUGGGUAGUGCUGGAUGAGAGAAGUUCUCUUUUUAUCACUGGUCUCUGUGAUUUGUCUUUGUUGAUUUUUCCAUCAGUUUAUAGAACUCUGUUCUAGAUUCCAUUGCAGUCCUAGACAGGUUAAAGAAUGAGGUAAAGAAUGGAGCUUGUACAGAAAAAGAAAGAGGGAUGGUGAGGUGAGGGUCAAAGGUAAAGAUGUUUCUUGGGGUCUGCUUGUAUAUUUCAGUGAGGCAAACAGGACAGUGUUUAUUUAAAAUGAAAGGAAAAAAUGAAUCUUGAAGUACUAUGAAUGGAUCUUGACAAUAUAACUAAAUGAGAUGUACAGCUAAAUUUUAUACAUUUUCCCUAUUUAGGAAAGUUUACUUUUUCAAGGAUACACAAUCUCUUAACAGGGGGCAGCUAGUGGCAGGAGAGACCCAUGGAUCCUGUUAUUUCAAUGCCCCCUAUCUAGAGAUGGGUAUGGGAGCACCAGAAAAUGGCUUUUUAGUUUUCUUUAAGGCUUUGCUAGAUUAUGGAGAUAAAGAAACAACCAGAAUAUUUCACAUUGUUCACAUUGUAUUUGGUGGGAAGCUAGGAAAUUUGUUUCCUCCUUUUUUUUUCCUAAGAAAAAAAGUUCAUUAACUUUAUCCUGUAGUACUUUCCCAUUACCUAAAUAACAACUCUGCUUGGCUUGGCUGUUAGAGAUUUUAGAAACAAUAUCAGACUCCAUCGAAACAACCCUGGCCUCCCUUAUUGUUCCUAGAAUUCUGGUUGUUGAUUACAUUAAGAUGUAUUUCUUUUUUUAAAAAAAAUGUCUGAAAUGUUAUUUAAUACACCAGUAAAAGUGCAUCUAUAUCUUAAGUUUAUUCCUUCCACGUCUUUCUGAGUUUUUAUAGCUCUUUGUCUGGGGUUGGGGGGAAACUUCCAUAGGCGGUUCGCGCGUGAAGAGUCUGAGUCUGGAGUGGUCUGUAGCUGGCGGCAAACAGCUCUCUGCUCUCAGAUUGGGGAGCUGUCAUCCAGAAAAAAGAGGGAAAUAAAUGCCCCACAAAGACUCACUUGUCACUAAUUUUAGAAAGACAGGGGAGCAUUAGGACCCCAUCGGAGCAAUAUGGAGGGGAUUUUGAUUGUUAUAAAUUGUAUACGAUUAACUCUCGGUGUGCAGAACGGCG
rnacentral:lncRNA from 1 species